rnacentral:rRNA from 1 species
AGGACGAACGCUGGCGGCGUGCUUAACACAUGCAAGUGGAGCGACGAACCAGGGCUUGCCCUGGGGCAGAGCCGCGAACGGGUGAGUAACACGUGGGUUACCUGCCUCGAUGACCGGGACAACCCGAGGAAACUCGGGCUAAUACCGGAUGUGCCCGCAAGGGGAAAGGAAGCUUCGGCCUCCGCAUCGAGAUGGGCCCGCGGCCCAUUAGCUUGUUGGUGAGGUAACGGCUCACCAAGGCUUCGAUGGGUAGCUGGUCUGAGAGGACGAUCAGCCACACUGGGACUGAGACACGGCCCAGACUCCUACGGGAGGCAGCAGUGGGGAAUCUUGCGCAAUGCGCGAAAGCGUGACGCAGCAACGCCGCGUGGGGGAAGAAGGCUUUCGGGUUGUAAACCCCUUUCAGUUGGGACGAAGCUUCUCCGGUGAAUAGCCGGACGGAGUGACGGUACCUUCACAAGAAGCACCGGCUAACUACGUGCCAGCAGCCGCGGU